UGGGUUAGUGUAAGAGUGAUGAUUUAUUAAUUAAUUUCUAAUUAAUUAAUAAAUAUCAGAUUAUUUUGUAUUCUAUUUGUAUAUAUUUUUAUUUCAGCUUAUUAGAUAAGUGUAUGGCCAUUCAGGUGUAAGAGACAGUGCUACCCUGUUAUUUGCCUUUAGGGUUAUAAUUAAGGUCCUGGCCAUAAGUUCUAUAAGUCAUUUGUUUCUAUUGGGUUUUAGUUUUGUGUUCUAGUGUUUUAUUGGUUUGUCAAAUUCCCUCCAAAGUGUUCUUGGUCUUUCUGGUCAUUCUUUGUCCAGAUUGUUGAUAGAGAGGUUCCAUUAAUUUGGUUGUGACAGAAUUUGACCAAUUGACUAUUGACUUAGACUCUCUUCAUCUUCUGUUAUCAUCUGGACUCCCAGCCAUAUACUGUAGUUGUGUGAUAAACCAUAUGGGAGCUUGCCUAUUCCCUCAGAAUGGGCAAUAGUGAAUAUAUUUAUAUCUACAACCAUUAAUAAACAGUGUGUCGAACCCUGACAGGUGUUUUCGUUAUUUACGAUUCCAUAACCCUGUUACAAAUUUGGCGCCCACGUUGGGACCCUUGGGAUAGACAGUGCAGUGAGACCCUUGGGACAGACAGUGAGACCCUCUCUGCAACAACCAGCAGCCUAACGCCAUUUCUGAUACCCAUAGUGAACAGUCUGCCUGACCAGUGUCCGUCCUAUAGUGUAUGUCGUAUUCAUGGAUGGACGGACUGUGAUGUGAUGUGUGAUGUACGUGUACCAUAUGUUACAAUGAUGUAGUGACAGUGUCGUGAGUGACUGUAGUACCGGUACGUACAUAUCCGUCGAGAUCACCUCUGCGGGGUACAUAUCCGUCAAGACCACUUUUGGACAAUUUGGUGACUCAUCAUUCAUUUUGUGUGUUAUUUGUGUUUUGUGCUUUGUGUUUGUGCCAUAUAUGGUGUGUAUUUUCUACAAGUGAUAUUAUCAGCUGAUUGGUGAGUGUUACUGUUAGAAUAUUGUUUACCUGUAUACUUAGAGCUCUAUAAUUAUUUUUUUUUUCAUUUCUUUGCUUGCAAGCCUAUUGUAUUUUUGAAAUUUACAUAUUUUUUUGGGUACCCUUGGUAUUGAAAAUUUUUUGAUUAAUUUAGUUUUAAGUGUAAAGGUUAAUUUUAAAAGUUUGACAGCUGAGUGCCAGAUUGGUAAGUGAGGUAUCACACAUUCACUUAUCCAGAGAUCCAGGUACCCUUGAAUUACUAAAAUGUAAGUAAAUUAAUUAAUAAUUCUAUCUCUUUUGACAGUGACUUUUUGACAAAUAUAUAUUACAGACAUUCCAGUUGAAUAGUUGAAUACAGUUUUCUUGGUAAAGUGUUUGUAUUUGUGUGCAGGUGAAUUAUAUCCUUUGGUUCUAAGUUGUGCAGUUUUCAGAGUUGUUGGAGGGUUGAUUUAAACAAGUUUUAUUAUUGCAUUUGUUUGUUUUACUGAUUAGUGUAGUGCCCACCUUAUACUUUAUUGAUUUUCAUUUAUUUAGUACUUAAUUUACAUCGGGUUCGUUCCGCUAUUUGAUCGAGAUCGGUUUUCUUUUUCCGAUUGCGCAUUUCCGAUCGAGCUCGAAAUCCGCGUUAUUUAUUUUGACCGGAAGUAAGUUUAGACAACGUGAUUUGGUAAACAAAUAUUGAAAUUUGCCUUAUUUUCCCAGUGUUUG